CGACAUAGAUUCUGGUGCAUUGGUUGAAAUAUUACAUGAAUGCCCGUCAAAGUAAUAUAUGCAAUGUUCUUAUUCAUGGGUGUUUGAUGACAAUUCAGUGUUUCUUUCCAGUGUUUGGGGAAGGAGGGUCAUUGCCCAUAGGGUGGGGAACAAGUGCGUGUUAAUGGUUAAGUUGGGGAAUUUUGUCUGUGUCAAUAUGCAAUUUUUUUAAUUUAUAAAUACAAUAAAAUCAUCUGCAUAAUGUAAUGGACGUAAAUAAUGUCUAAUCUAAAUUUUAUAAUUAUUUAAGUAAUUUGAAGAUCUUUUAGCGUCCUACUUACACACUAUCAACCCAAGGAUAGUAGAUUUUGUUAUAUUUAUCACAAUUAUGUUUUUAUUAUCCCCACCGAAAAAAAAUUCGGAGGGGAUAUAAUUGGUCCUGUCCGUCCGUCUGUGCGUCUAUCCGAAACCUUUGUCCGGAGCAUAACUCUAAAACUACUGAAGGGAUUUACUUGAAACUUGCAGGGCUUUUUUUCCUUCUUUGCGAUUGGCCGUGGACGGACAUUUCACAAUUUUGACACGGCCAAUUCACAAACCUGACAUGGCCGUGAAUAUUUACAAAAACGGCCGUUUUAAAUCGUGAAAAACGGACUUUUUGUGCUCAAAACUGUCAAAAACGGCCAUUUCGGAACAGAAAUAUAAGUUUCAUAACCUCGUUUUUAAUUCCGAAUUCGCGAAAAACUGUCGACUCGCGUUACCGAUGUUUGUUUGUUUUAAUCGAUUUUAAAGUGUUGUGUAACCGGUGAAACCGGCGUAAAUAGUAAAAGCUCUGCCCAGCAACGUCACUAUAAAAAAUGGCGACGCCGAACGCUCUCUACUACACGAAGAAAAUAAAAAAAAAACGCAAAAUAAUCCCGAUUUAUUAAAAUUUGGGAUAACAGUAAAGAAACAAAAGCUUUCUACAGAAGGAUCAAAUGACAACCUCCCAGGGAGAUCAUCAUACACUGGCGAGGGUCAGGCUCACAGAACAUGAAAAUUAUCAUGAAGAAGGAAUUUUCCUCUUCAGAUUUUGAGAGAAUUAUUGACAUUUUCAAGAGUAAAAAGAACAGAGUUCUAAAGCUGUAAAGUCCAGAACAUGUCUGAGUUAUGUGCCCUUGAAAUGUUCUAUGUUUAUAAAUGUUAUUCCUGUGGUAAAGAAUUGUUGGGACCAGGUAUUUUAGUUGCAUUUGGUACAUGAAUGUUUUGCAAAUCAGAUAUAUGUAUAUGUGUUGUUAUUGUAUCAAAUACAGUAUUCAUAGAAGGAAAAUAUGCCUUUAUUGCAUGAUUUAAGGAAAUUUUGAUAAUAUUCAAGUGUUUAACAUGCUUUAGCUAUGCUAAUGCAUUGAACUUUGAAUUUCACAAUUUAAAGAAGUUCGCGACUCGUUUUUUCACAAUUUUAAGAAGUUCGCGACUCAAUUUUUCACAAUUUUGAAAAGUUCGCGACUCAAUUUUUCACAAUUUUGACAAGUUCGCGACUCAUUUUUUCACAAGGUGAGGGGCCAGGGCCGCUUCACAAAGUCAGGAAAAAAAGCCCUGACUUGUAAUAUAAACAGAUGGCAACUAGGAGAAGUGCAGUGACCAAGAACCAUAACUCUAUCGGCCAUAGUUUUAAUGUCAUAAAUACAUACCUGCUAUCCUAGCUAUACCUUUCUAGGAGGGUUAGCUUCUCCAGAAAUCUUCAAGUACCGGAAUUCGGCCACCUCUCUAACUGAAAACAGAACUGGUUAAACAUAGAACAAUGUAACCUAACCGGAAAUCAAGAACCGUAACUCAUCUUACUUUUCUUGAGAACGCCGUGCAGUUUGCCAUUUUUCAUCGGAUCUGAAAUUUGGUUGUUUUUAUUAUAUUCUGCGUGGUAUAUGGGUUUGAAAUUGAUGAAUUAGAUAAUUUAUCGUUUCUGCUUUAUUCAGAAAUCUUUUUUUCGUAUUAUUUUGUUAUUAUUUAAUUGAUUAUCAACACUUUGCCGGGUUUUUACAUGUGCUCAUGAAUUGUGCACGUGCAUUUCGUGGCCUUUUUUGUCAACAAGUAUUGACUUUAUUGUACAGUAUUUCUGCUUUGCUUUACUGUUUAUUUCAAUUAUCAUUGUUGUUUUUUUAUGAAAUAUUCGGCGUUAUUCGGACCCAUUCCCCCAUCUGUAGAGAAUAUAUUUUCCCCCCAAAUAUUUGAAAAAUUCCCCUCUCGGAAGUGUAAUUCAAUUUUAAUCAAUGCCUCAUUUAAAUAAUUCACAGAAAAGCCAAAAAAAAUUGAUCUUUGAACAUGAACAUAACAUGUUGAUGAAAAAAAGAGUUGGAAUAAUGUUUUUCUCUAUGUAUGGUGAAUUAAAUUAUUAAAACUUGAUUUUGUUCUGUUACUUGCUAAGCAUUUAAAUUUCCCCUUUACGCACAAUUUUUUUCUCCCUCAGGGGACCCGACCCCUUUCCCCCAAAACUGAAAAAAAAACACUGAUUAUUUUGUUCAAAGUAACUGUUCUCUUACGUAGAUUUCUUUCUUUCUAAGAAUGAAUUUACAAAUAAGAGGCUCUUGUGGACACAUUAAGGCUUCGUGGGAUUCCCACAAGAAUUGUUUGUCUUGUACUAAUUGUACCAUUGAACAUAAAUGUUCUGUUUGCAGUGCUUGGGAUGAUGCGACGUGGCAGAGAGCAAUCCGUUGCAGAACGUUUCUAAGCAGAAAACGGACAGAUGAAACUUCAUCAGAUGAGAAAGUCCCGGUGACUUUGCAGACUUCGGACGAGAAAUUGCUGCAUCAGUCACUGGGUAUAGGGCAAGAUGGAGUUCGUUCUAUGCUAACUUCAUAAGAAAGUCGAUAAACAUCAGACCAUAUGGUGACAACCGUCAGCCGGUCUAUGCCCGAUGGCAUUGGUCAAGGAAUACGGCCAAUGCCAGACCAUUUGGCAGCCGCCAUACUGUCAUUGCCUGGUGACAACACUGGUCAUAGUAUGACCGGUAUGUUACCGGGGACCGGUCUGGUCACCGGUCCAUGGCACCGAUCCGUGAAACCGGUCAACGGGGACAGGUCCGUUUACCAGUCUGUGGUACCGGUCACCGGGGUACGGUCACCGGUCCAUUGAACCAGGGACGGGUCCGGUCACCGGUCCAUGAAACUGGUCACCGGGGACCGGUCUGGUCACCGGUCUUCUAUCAACAGUGACCAGUCAAUACCACCGGUCACCAGGGACCGGUCUGGUCACCGGUCAAUACGUAUGGUCACCGGUCAAUACCACCGGUCACCAACCACCGGUCUGGUCAAUACCACCAGUCAUCGAUCACCAGGGACCAGUCCAGUCACAGGUCAAUACUACCGGUCAACGGUCAACAGUCAGUACUACCGGUUAACGGUCACAGUUCACCGGUCAUCGAUCGAGAAAGAGACAUCGAUCAUCUUCAUCAGACUAUUCCUCCUCCUCUUCUUCUUCAAAGGCAUCUGAGUCGUCAACUAGUACUGACAAUAGAGCUAGACGUCUUAACCGAUCACCUUUAUCGUGUAGCCCUCAUUCACGGCGUCGAUAUGAUCGGUAUCGAUCAUCUCGAGACUCUAGGAGACGUUAUUCUAGGAGACGUCGUUCCCAUCGAAGCCGAUCUGUUUUUCGGCAUUGUAGGGAUAAAACUCGUCGUUAUGCUUCACGUAAACAGUGUCCCUCUGACUACAAUUAUCCUACACAGUACUAUCCUGUCUCGGAUUGUAAUGUUGCUGUAUCCUAUGUACCAGCUCCAGUUUCCAGUUUAACAUUAUUAAAUGUUGCUGUGACUGGUACUACUUCGCAGACUUUGUCUUCUGGUGUUGUUCUCACCACUACAGAUACUCACUCAGCUCCACAAGUUGCGGCUACGCUACCUAUUCAGGUACCUCCUACUGCGACAUCGUAUAAUCCGGACACUUUAUGGCUUCAAGAUUCCUAUGGACAAUUCGUUCCAGUCAAUCCUGAUAAUUUACCGUCAUCUUCCGGUUUUAAUUAUCAGUGUGUUGAUUGUGUAGAUGGUCAUUCAUCAUUACCAGAUACUCGCAAUCUGGUGCAUGAUAAUCGGCCUAGUAUUUCCACUUUGGUUUCUGCUGAUUCUAUGCACACAGCUGGUGUUGUAGACAAUGAGGCCGAUUCGGAGGUAGAUCCCAAUGAUGACACUGAUCAAUAUUUGUCAUCAAUUAAUCAGAUAUAUGAACUGAUAUUUCAAACUCUUGGUGAUGAUUAUUGCCCAAGACCUGCGGAGAUGUGUACUAAUUCGACGAUUUCUAUUACGGAAAAAUUAGUUCGUACUUUUGAUCCCAACAGGCUUUCUAAGGCUACGUCUCGCAUUGAUCAGUUUUUCAAUCGUUGGAAUCAGCUUAUAAGACCAUUCCAAAACGAGGAGAACUGUGGAAGGUGCCUAAGGACUUACCUGAUCCUAAGCAUAAUGAACGUACUAGAAGCUACAAGCCUCCCGUACCAGAUCCAACCUCCAGAUUGGAUUUUGCCAAAUUACCGGUUUAGGAUCCUGACAUCAAUAAGCUGUUGCUUAAUAUGCCUACUUCUUCAACUUCUGUUUCUGUUCCUUAUUCAAUGUUGGAACAUUGGGAAGUGAGAGAACGCAUAUCUCUAGGUCUUACCAACCAGAUAGAUCUCAUGCUAGCAACUAUUUUGCAGUUGGUGUGUGAUUGGUCAGACUCGGUUCCUGAAGAACUUCGUGAUUUGUUAAUUCAUCUUUCAUGAACGACAUUGUCUCUUUCACAUAAUGCUGCUUCUGCAAUGUCGGAGAUGCUAAGGAUUCAUAGAGAUCUUAUCCUUUCUUCUUUACCUAAAGAUUUUCUAUUAGAACCGGGUAUGAAUGCUCUCAGAACGGCACCUCUCUUAUCAGGAUUUCUUUGGUGGAAGGAUUCAAGACGCAAUUUCAGCGGACGAAGAUGAUCAACUUCAUGCUUCUUUAGCUAGAAACAACUCUGGACAACGCAAAAGGGCCUUUAAGCGACCUGCUUCUAGACCAAUGACAAAUCCAGUAGUUAAGAAGGAUUAGAGGAAUAACCUUUUCUCUAAAAGGCCUUCCUUGAAUCCUCGGUCAGUUCCUAACAAACAGUCAUCAUUUAACAGACCUUCUGUUUCUCAGAAAUCUUCUGUUAAGAAAUCUGGUAGGAAGAACAAGUCUAAGCGGGAUAAGAGUUAUUCCAGACCUUUUACCGGCAAGGGUGGACCGCCUGCUUAUCAGCCCUAGGUACUUACCCUUUCUACCGCCUUCUCCUUCGAUGCCGAAAAUACCAUUAGGGGCCAGACUUCUACAUUUUUCAAAUCGUUGGCUUUGUAUAACUUCGGACGCUUGCGUUCAUUCACUAGUUAAAGAAGGCCUGACUUUUCCAUUCGAAAACAGACCUCCACUUUCUCGCGUCCCUGUAGAGCUGGUAUCUCCGCAUCCACAGAUUCCAGAGUCCAUUCUCGGUCUCUUGGAAAAAUAGGCGGUAGAAAGAGUAACAGACCUUUAUUCUCCAGGAUAUAACAGUCGUCUUUUUCUUGUUCAAAAGAAAAAUGGUUCCUGGAGACCAGUAAUAGACUUAAAAGUUUUCAACAUGUUUCUACUCAAACCAACUUUCAAGAUGGAGACUCCUUCCUUCAUAAGGAAUUCCAUUAAAAUCUUCACUGGGGGUGUCCUUGGAUCUGGAAGAUGCAUACUUCCAUGCUCCUAUACAUCCCAACUACCGGAAGUACCUUCGUUUUGAAUUUCGAGGCCAGGUAUACCAGUUCCGAGCGAUGCCUUUUGGGUUGGCAACAGCUCCUCUAGUCUUUACCAAGCUUAUGGCUGCAGUAGGAGCACAUCUCCGAUUUCACGGUAUUCUGCUUCUUCAGUACUUCAACGACUGGCUGUUACACCAGCUUGAUCGUCAAUUGCUUCUGCAACAUCUGGAAUUUUCUUGGAAGGAACUCCUAUCAUAAGGGCUCCUUUUAAAUGCAGACAAAUCAGACCUCAUCCCAGCUCAAGAUUUCACUUUUGUGGGAAUGAAUUUCUUGACUCACAUCAACAAGGUCAGAGUGUCUCGUCAACGUAUAUCAGACCUUCUGCUGAAGGUCAAUUGGGUUAUGUCCCAAUCUCAUAUAACAGCUCAAAAGUUCCUAUCUCUCAACGGUAUCCUGAGCUCAGUAGCAGACUUGUCUACAAUGUUAUCGCAGAUUCCUAUUCUUCCGGAGUUAAUACCACAUCUUCAGUGGUGGCUAGAUGAGGAGACUCUCUUGGCAGGAGUGCCCCUUCUUCCUCCUCAACCGUCUUUGUAUCUUAUGACGGAUGCGAGCAAGGACGGGUGAGGUGCUCAUCUGGAACCACUCAGUCAGACAGUGUCAGGGUUGUGGUCUCAUCAGGAGUCACAUCUGCAUAUCAACAAUCUAGAAAUGCGAGCGGUAUUUCUAGCUGUAUCUCAUUUCCAGUCACAUCUUCGAGACUCUUGUGUGAUGGUGUCAACAGACAACACAUCAGUUGUGACUAACAUUCAGGCACAGGGGGGAAAACAUUCUCACUCCCUGUAUCUGGAAACCAAGGAAUUACUUGUUCUUUGCAAGACGCUCAACAUUUUUCUUCUGGCCAAAUAUAUUCCAGGUCGUCUCAACGCCCUGGCAGAUGGGUUGUCUCGCAAACACCAAUUACUUCCAUCGGAGUGGACACUUCAUCAGGAAGUGACCAAUCAGAUUUUUCUCAUGUUCGGUUAUCCACUAGUCGACCUAUAAGCAACCAGACACAAUCACAGACUUCUUCUGUAUGUGAGUCCGGUUUAUGAUCCAGCAGCGUGGGCAGUAGACACGCUUUCGUUCGAUUGGGACCAACUGGACGCUUACGCUUAUCCCCCACCCAUUCUGAUUUCCCAAAUAUUGGCGAAAAUCAGGGUGAGUUCGUGCCGCAUACUCCUGAUUGCCCCUUGGUGGCCCAGGAGAUCGUGGUUCAACGAUCUUCUCAGUCUCCUGUACGAUUAUCCCAGGACACUUCAUCACAGAUCAAAUCUUCUGUCUCAAAGAGGCAGACUUCAUGCGGAUCCAGCAAUGUUCCACUUACACGUCUGGCCGUUAUCAGGCAUUCUCUGCAGAAGAAACGCUUUUCUGUCAGGGCUUCAAACCUCAUUGCUUAUGCAAGAAGAAAAUCCACCAGAGCAGUCUAUGAUGCUCGAUGGAAACUAUUCUCUAAUUGGUGUAUUCGAGGGAAAAUUGAUCCCCUCAAUCCCUCUGCUAGACACAUAGCGGAUUUUCUCAUCUAUCUUUUUGAUGAUAAGAAACUUUCUCUUAGUUCCAUCAAAGGAUACAGAUUUAUGAUUUCUCAUACAUUGGCUUUUACUAAAACAUCCCAAUUCUGUUCUGAUCCAGCAAUUUCGGAACUGAUUCGAUCUAUUGAACUUAAACGUACUGUUUCUUGUACACUGGCACCUAAAUGGGAUUUGGCUUGUGUUCUUAAGUCGCUUACUAAGGCUCCAUAUGAGCCUCUAGAUCAAGCUUCUUUACAGUUGCUAACUUGGAAGACCGUUUUCCUUCUUACUAUGGCUUCAGCCAAAAGGAGAAGUGAAAUUCAUGCUCUUUCUAUCGAGGAUGGUCAUCUUCGUUUUGAUUCCUCAGAUGGAUCUGUAACGUUGUUGUGUCAGCCAGGAUUCCUUGCUAAAAAUCAACUCCCCUCUAUGGCUUCUAAACCUUUCAAAGUUCCAAGUCUUUCUAAUACUUGUAGACACGAAGAUGAUGAUAGACUUCUUUGCCUGGUCAGGGCGCUGAAGUGCUAUCUUAAAAAAGUAAAGUCUAUUUGAGGUUCUUGCAAAAGACUUUUCAUUCCAUUAAAAGGGGGGGGGGGUGUAUCUGCUGCAUCUAUUUCUCGUUGGGUAGCAUCGACUAUUAAGAAAGCUUAUUCAUCUCUCUCAUCUAGGGAUUUAUCCCGGUUUAAGAUUAAACCGCAUGAAUUAAGAGCUCUUUCGGCUUCUUGAGCGUAUAUUAAUAAUGUUCCACUUUCUGAAGUGCUUCAAGCUGCUUUCUGGAGGAAUCUAACCACCUUUUCCUCUUUCUAUCUUUGUUCUCUUGAGUGUCAACAACAAAAUUUAUAUAUGUUGGGUUCUCUUGCGGUUCUCAAAAAGUAGUUUCUUCCAUGGCGUAUUUGUGCUGGCGCUAUCCAGAAACUAAGGUACAAUACUGUACUAACAAAGAUUAUCUGAGGACAUAUUUCUACUAUCUCUGGCUGAAAAACCUGGUUAUGGGUUUUUGCUGUGAUGGGAAAAUAUAACGAGUACCUCCCGCCACAGCUUCAAAAUCAGCUAGGGAUAGCAGGUAUGUAUUUAUGACAUUAAAACAAAUUUUCUUAAAAUAAAAUUCAUUUUAAUUAUUAAAUACUUACCUGCUAUCGGUAAGUCCCACCUCCCACCCCACUCAUUGUUUAAUAUUUUCAUAAUUGCAUGACAAAUAAGAUGAGUUACGGUUCUUGAUUUCCAGUUAGGUUACAUUGUACUAUGUUUAACCUGAUCUGUUUUCAGUAAGAGAGGUGGCCUAAUUCCGGCACUUGAAGAUUGCUGGAGAAGCUAACGCUCCUAGAAAGGUAUAGCUAGGGAUAGCAGGUAAGUAUUUAAUAAUUAAAAUGAAUUUUAUUUUAAGAAAAUUUGUUUUUUAAUUACCUCCCUUUUUUCAUUUCCAUAUAUUAUAUUCUCUACAGCAUAACUCCAACACUAUGUAACUAAUUGAUCCUUGAAAUAUAAAUACCGGGUAGAUGACACAGGUGCCAUGUUUUACAAAUAUAUUAUUCUACUCCCUAAAACAAAAUGUUCUCAUACAAGAAAACACAUUUCGGCAGGGAUUUGGCACUACUGUGACAAGCUCUUGUUAUAUUUUAAUUUAAUAACAUUGCAUUCAUUUCUUGACAAUUCAAAAAAAACAAACAAUGAACAAACAAUUCUAAGAUAAAAAUACUAUAAUAAGCGGGGAAAGUGACGGAAUAUGGCCAUAAAACAACAUUCAAUCAGAUACUUUGUACAUUGUUUGAAAAUCUUUAAGGCAUUAAGCCAUACACUGGUAUAUUUGUAACUAGGUUUGCUCAGAUUUGAAGCCUUUUUAGGAUCUAUGUACUCAUGCAUGGUGAAAGGGCUCAGUAAUAAUAUUGAUUUCAAUAUUUUGAUGUAACAUUUUCUGUACUUAAUAAAAUAUUGUGAACAUUAUAACAUACAACUUAUUUUCGCAAAAUAACAAUUUUAUAAUUGGAGGUUACUUUAUCUACCAAAAUUAAACAUGACAAAUACAUGUAGUAUAUACCUAUUUCCACCUUUUGUUAAGUUUUUAUUUCUGAUCCAUAUUGGUAAUAACGUUCUUCAUCAAGUCUCUAA